CCUAAGGUAUGCAAGUCGAACGAUUCCUGUAUCUUCGGAUACAGGGAGUGGCAAACGGCUGAGUAACGCGUAGGAACCUACCCCAAACUCGAGCAUAGCCCCGCGAAAGCGGGGGUAAUCCUCGAUAGCCCGUGAAGUAUUUUACUUCACGGUAAAGCUUUUGCGGUUUGGGAUGGGCCUGCGUCCUAUCAGGUAGUUGGUGAGGUAAAUGCUCACCAAGCCUAUGACGGGUAGCUGGUCUGAGAGGAUGGUCAGCCAGACUGGGACUGCGACACGGCCCAGACUCCUACGGGAGGCAGCAACUAGGAAUUGUGCGCAAUGGACGAAAGUCUGACGCCGCGACAUCGCGUGGAGGAUGAAGGUCUUCGGAUUGUAAACUCCUUUUCUUACCGAACAAGUUCUGAGUGUAGGUAAGGAAUAAGUGCCUGCUAACCACGUGCCAGAAGCAUCGGUAAUACGUGGGGCACGAGCGUUAUCCGGAUUUACUGGGCGUAAAGAGAAGCGUAGGCGGCUCAAUAAGUUUGGUGUUAAAUCUUCCGGCUCAACCGGAAACAAGCACCGAAAACUAUCGAGAUUGAGUCGAGUAGGGAAGAGGGGAAUUCCUGGUGGAGCGGUUAAAUGCGUAGAUAUCAGGAGGAAUACCAAGGGCGAAGGCACCUCUUUGGACUCGUACUGACGCUGAGGCUCGAAAGCGUGGGUAGCAAAACGGAUUAGAUACCCGUGUAGUCCACGCCGUAAACGAU
rnacentral:rRNA from 1 species